AACGGUGGCUAAUACCGCAUAAUGUCUACGGACCAAAGCAGGGGCUCUUCGGACCUUGCACUAUCGGAUGAACCCAUAUGGGAUUAGCUAGUAGGUGGGGUAAAGGCCCACCUAGGCGACGAUCUCUAGCUGGUCUGAGAGGAUGAUCAGCCACACUGGGACUGAGACACGGCCCAGACUCCUACGGGAGGCAGCAGUGGGGAAUAUUGCACAAUGGGCGCAAGCCUGAUGCAGCCAUGCCGCGUGUGUGAAGAAGGCCUUCGGGUUGUAAAGCACUUUCAGUUGUGAGGAAAGGUUAGUAGUUAAUACCUGCUAGCUGUGACGUUAGCAACAGAAGAAGCACCGGCUAACUCCGUGCCAGCAGCCGCGGUAAUACGGAGGGUGCGAGCGUUAAUCGGAAUUACUGGGCGUAAAGCGUACGCAGGCGGUUGAUUAAGCGAGAUGUGAAAGCCCCGGGCUCAACCUGGGAACUGCAUUUCGAACUGGUCAACUAGAGUGUGAUAGAGGGUGGUAGAAUUUCAGGUGUAGCGGUGAAAUGCGUAGAGAUCUGAAGGAAUACCGAUGGCGAAGGCAGCCACCUGGGUCAACACUGACGCUCAUGUACGAAAGCGUGGGGAGCAAACGGGAUUAGAUACCCCGGUAGUCCACGCCGUAAACGAUGUCUACUAGGAGUUCGGUUUUUCGGAGCUGUCUUCCAAAGCUAACGCAUU
rnacentral:rRNA from 1 species